rnacentral:rRNA from 1 species
GACGAACGCUGGCGGCGUGCCUAAUACAUGCCAGUCGAGCGGACCAAACAGGAGCUUGCUCUUGUUUGGUUAGCGGCGGACGGGUGAGUAACACGUGGGUAACCUGCCCGUAAGACCGGGAUAACUCCGGGAAACCGGAGCUAAUACCGGAUAACACCGAAGACCGCAUGGUCUUUGGUUGAAAGGCGGCUUCGGCUGCCACUUACGGAUGGGCCCGCGGCGCAUUAGCUAGUUGGUGAGGUAACGGCUCACCAAGGCGACGAUGCGUAGCCGGCCUGAGAGGGUGACCGGCCACACUGGGACUGAGACACGGCCCAGACUCCUACGGGAGGCAGCAGUAGGGAAUCUUCCGCAAUGGACGAAAGUCUGACGGAGCGACGCCGCGUGAGCGAAGAAGGUCUUCGGAUCGUAAAGCUCUGUUGUUAGGGAAGAAGAAGCGCCGUUCGAACAGGGCGGCGCGGUGACGGUACCUAACGAGAAAGCCCCGGCUAACUACGUG